CCUACGGGAGGCAGCAGUAAGGAAUAUUGGUCAAUGGACGCAAGUCUGAACCAGCCAUGCCGCGUGAAGGAUGAAUGCCCUCUGGGUUGUAAACUUCUUUUAUAGGGGACGAAAAAGGGUCUUUUUAGAUCAACUGACGGUACCCUAGGAAUAAGCACCGGCUAACUCCGUGCCAGCAGCCGCGGUAAUACGGAGGGUGCAAGCGUUAUCCGGAUUUACUGGGUUUAAAGGGUGCGUAGGUGGGUUGGUAAGUCAGCGGUGAAAUCUUCGAGCUUAACUCGGAAACUGCCAUUGAUACUAUCAGCCUUGAAUAUCCUGGAGGUGAGCGGAAUAUGUCAUGUAGCGGUGAAAUGCUUAGAUAUGACAUAGAACACCAAUUGCGAAGGCAGCUCACUACGGGAUUAUUGACACUGAGGCACGAAAGCGUGGGGAUCAAACAGGAUUAGAUACCCUGGUAGUCCACGCCCUAAACGAUGGAUACUCGACAUUUGCGAUAUACAGUAAGUGUCUGAGCGAAAGCAUUAAGUAUCCCACCUGGAAGUACGAUCGCAAGAUUGAAACUCAAAUGAGUAGAGNGNGAGAGAGCGACGACGACGACGAGGGAGGAGG
rnacentral:rRNA from 1 species